UAUAAACCAUAGAAGAGGAAUAGUAACUUGCAAAGGGUAAAAGAGAGUCAGUGGUUGGUGUAAACUGAUAUCUAAUGUUAGUGAAUCCACCUCGGAGGGACUGUGAUGAGCAGUACGGUAAUUACGUUAUAGUUUAUAAGAGAGGGUUAAGUAAGUUUUGUUCUUAAUCAAUCAGGGUGGCAACGCGGAGUCUUUUCGUCCCUUUA
rnacentral:ncRNA from 1 species